GGUUAGUAACACGUGGAUAACCUACCUAUAAGACUGGGAUAACUUCGGGAAACCGGAGCUAAUACCGGAUAAUAUAUUGAACCGCAUGGUUCAAUAGUGAAAGACGGUUUUGCUGUCACUUAUAGAUGGAUCCGCGCCGCAUUAGCUAGUUGGUAAGGUAACGGCUUACCAAGGCAACGAUGCGUAGCCGACCUGAGAGGGUGAUCGGCCACACUUGAACUGAGACACGGUCCAG
rnacentral:rRNA from 1 species